ensembl:lncRNA
CUUAUUUAGUAUAUAUAUAUAUAUAUAUAUAUAUAUAUAUUGAUAUGUGCAUUUGUACAAUUGCCUUAUAGGACUCUAGUUGAUACAUUCACUUUGAUAUAGCAUGUGUAUAUGUUUUCGUUAGUAUCACAUAUCGCACAACUAAAUUUAUAUAUAUUUAUGUAGAUACAAUUCUCUCCGCCUGUUUAAAUGAAAAGUUCUACAUAUUUUAAAAAUGAUAGAAAAUGUGGUAAGGAAAUGUGUAAUUCAUCACCUAAUAAUUACGAUAGUGAUGUAAUCGAAAUUGUAAGCAUAAAUGAUAGUGAUGUUUCUUGUCAUGACACGAAUGAUUCAAACAAAAUCAAUAGCACAACAAAAGAUGUAAAAAACAGCAGCUCAUCUGAACAAUUAGACAGUGAAAUUGAAAUCAUCGAAGAUAUUAAUCAGUACAAUUAUGAAAAAGUAAAAGAGGCUAGAUUAAAAAUGUUCGAGCGAUCCAAUAAGAAAGCCGAAUUUGUAAGAGGAGAAGGAGUUUUUUUCGAAUAUUAUUUAGGGUGUAUUGAUACUGAUUCUAUAAUUCUAUCUAGUGAAGUGUGUGAAAUAAACAACGAAAAGGAUAUAACAAUUUGCUAUGAAAUAUCCCCCAAAUCAACUAAACGUUCAUUUAGCCCUAUGUAUAAUUUAAAAAUAAAUAACCAUUAUGUUGCUUGUAAUGAUUACAUACGUAUUAUAGGUAGAAAUGUACCAACUAAUAAAAAUAAAGUAAAAAAAAAAAAAGUAAUAAAAAGCAGAACAGGAAAAAAUGAAAAUACAAAUAGUAAUAAUAAUAAUAAUAAUAGUGAGUAUUCCGAAGUAGAAUAUGGAAGCAAUCAAAUAAUAUCAUUAGACAAAAAAUUUGUUGAAUUUGACAAGCAUAAAGGAGAGGUAUUAAAAGACAUAAAUGAAGGUUAUUCAUGUAUUCGAAUUAAACACAAUAAUAGAGACGUGUCUAAACUGAAAAAUCAAAUGUCGAAAAUGUUAUGUGUUUUGUUAGUAUUAAACGCAAUAAAAGUAGAAAUAAGCAUAAAAAAAAUACCUACAUGGGAGUUGAAAUUUGGUGGUAGUCUAAAAACCUUUGUUCAUGUAAUUUUAUAUCCAGAUUGUUUCAAAAUAGAUACACACAAAUAUCAAGAAUAUAAUUCAUUAAUUAAAUUUAGCGUUGAUAAUUUAUUUAAAGAGUUAAAACUAAUUCCUUUAAGAUUCGCGAAGGUCUUAGAUAUGCAUUUACCACACACUAUGAUAACUGCUGCUGGUAACAUUGCUACUACUACUACGACUACUAUUAUGGACCAAAAUAAUAUAACAUUUUUUAACGAAGACACUAGUCCAAUUAAAACGAAUCAAUUUAGUUAUAAUAAAAAGGACAGGGUUGGAGGUAAUGAUGAAGGAAAGGAUGCUUCUCCUUUUUUUUGUACACCGCACAAGGCUUUAAAUGUGAAUAACGGUACACCUAAAAAGGAUUGCCUCGGUAGGGUUAUUGGACACGUAUUUAUUUAUGUGUGUGUGUAUAUAUAUAUAUGUACAUGCAUUUAUGU